rnacentral:rRNA from 1 species
UACGGGGGGAGCAAGCGUUGUUCGGAUUUACUGGGCGUAAAGGGCGCGUAGGCGGCCUGUGCAAGUCAGUUGUGAAAUCUCCGGGCUUAACUCGGAACGGUCAACUGAUACUGCUCGGCUAGAGUGCGGAAGGGGCAACUGGAAUUCUUGGUGUAGCGGUGAAAUGCGUAGAUAUCGGGAGGAACACCUGAGGCGAAGGCGGACUACUGGGCCGAUACUGACGCUGAGGCGCGAAAGCCAGGGGAGCAAGCGGG